rnacentral:misc_RNA from 1 species
GAAAUGCGAUAAGUAAUGUGAAUUGCAGAAUUCAGUGAAUCAUCGAAUCUUUGAACGCAUCUUGCGCUCCUUGGUAUUCUGAGGAGCAUGCCUGUUUGAGUGUCAUCAAUCUCUCAACUACACCAAUCUUUCUGGUUUGGUGUAGCUUUUGGAUGUGGGGGUUUUAUUUUGCUGGCCUCUAUUAAAUGAGGUCAGCUCCCCUGAAAUUUAUUAGCGGUAUCUGAGCAGAGACCUACUACAGGUGUGAUAAAUUAUCUAUGCCUUGGUAAUGCUGCAUCAACAGAUUGUGCUGCUUCCAGUGAAUCAUUUGACAAAUUUGACCUCAAAUCAGGUAGGACUACCCGCUGAACUUAA